GGGCGGUGCGGUAGACCCUGAUCUGCGGGCCUCGGAGGGGAAGCCCUGCGCCCUGGUGCCCGGCCCGGAGCCCACGCGGGACUGGGAAGGUGCCGAGCCUCCCUAGGAGCUGCCGGGGGGAGGCGACCCCAGAACAGCGUCCCGGAGAGCCGCCGGCGGGGUGUGGGGCCGGGUCCCCCAGCAGCGAGGGGCCCCAAAGCCGACCGGCGCGCUUGGGACGUUAAGCGCCCUUCUUCCGGUCUGUGAGCUUCGGCGGCGGCGCCGGCCCUUCCUUUAGCCCUCUCGGGACCGUUACGUGAACCCGCACUGCCUUCUUCCCUUCCGGGACCCCUGCACAGGCCCCGCGUCCGCCCCGACUCGGAACCGAGGGGAAAGAAAGGCGCGGCGGCAGGAAAACGGGAGAGGUCUAGGCCGGCCGGGGCUGCUGGAGGACUCAGCCCAGCUCUGGAGUGGACAAGUGCAGGCCGCGGCUUUUCAUCCAGAUAAAACAGUGAGCUCAGCAGAGUCCGAAGCUUAUCUCUGUUACCCAGCUUAGCCACACGGAAGCUCUAAGAAUUCACCUUCCAAAAUACUUCGUUUUUGAUUAAAAUAUAUAUAGAUGCUUUAUAACUGCCCAAAUAAGUACAGUGCUGUAAAGGGAAAAGAAAAAAGAAAUGCAUGAUGCAUUUACUCAGUUUAGAAAGGAGAUCUAUGCAAAAACCGAAAUAUUAUUUAAAAAAAUCAAAUCUGCAAAUUUGUGGGGGUUUUUUUGAGGCAGGGUCUCCCUUUGUAGUUCAGGCUGGCCCUGAACUCACGAUGUAGCCUAGGCUGGCCUCGAACUCACAGCGAUCCUCCUGCCACAGCCUUCCCAGUGCUGGGAUCACAAGCAUGCACCACCACGCCCGGCAAAUCUGCAAAUUUAUAACAUGCUAUUUUAGCCAGCGGCCCCCACUCAUUGUGUUCCAGUCCCUUCGUGCACGUGCCAUGUCUCCCUGAAGUGGAGAUGCCUCCCCACAUUUUGCAGAUGAGGAAUCAGCCCAAGAGGCUUUCUUUUAUUUAACCAAAAUCGGUGCAGUUAACAAAUGCGCAGGCCACAACCCAAACCUAGUUUGACUCGGAAGCCCAGACUUCUCCCCUGUCAUGCUACAUUUUGCUGUGUUGGCGUCAGUCAACAGAUUUCUCCUGUGUGGAGGAGACUGAGGUGUUUGGGGUGGUGAUUUGGAAACCCAGGCGCUUCUACUUUGAGCGGAAGUUCCCAGUCUUCAUACUUGAGAUCCUGAAACCCAGCCUAGUGUCCCCAUCUUACAUUGAUGAAAAAGUUUAGGGCUAAAAUAUCUAUGGAGCUCUCCGGUUCCAAAGUGAUAAACAUAGGCCCCAAGGUAAAAAUAGAAAACAUGAUGUUGGCGGAGCAAAAUCGUCUCUCAACCUCUUCCCAAUAACUAAAUCAAGACUAAUCAAGGGGAGCACACGGAAGGGGUCAGUAUUUGUGCUCAAGAGUCCAUAAUUCAGUAGGGAGGUUUUAUGUAAUAAUCGCUAGGAAAAUGCCCUAGCGGAGGGGGAGGGCUGGGGCUUGGAGAGGAGCUCUGCCUGCUGGUUGGGCCAUAGCGAUAAAUGUUUGAGGAGAUAAGGCAAAGAGCACAGGGAGAUAAGGAAGCCGACACUGGAAGACAAGAUGAGGCCCAGCUGACUAUACAAUAUCAGGGUGACUAAGGUUAGGGAACAGAAAUAGCUUUAAUUUCAGUGGGGAUGUAUAUAUACUGGGGAUUGAAACCAGGGCCUUUGCACUAAACUACCCUAGACCUUUCUUUCUUCCCUUUAUGGUUUUUUGAGAGAAUCUCGAUAGAUAGUCCAGGCUGGCCUUGAACUCUCUAUGUAGCCCAUGAUGUCCUUGAACUCAGAAUCAUCCUGCGUCAGCCUCCUGAGUGCUGGAAUUACAGGCAUUCACCACCAUGCCUGGCCAUAACCUUUCUUUUUUUAAAUGGGUCUCGCUAAGUUGCAAAAUUGCCCAGGCUUAGCCUAUUGAAGAUGUGUGCCAUUCUCUAAUUUUAAUUCCUAAAACAGUAAGGCUUUGGGGGGGGGGGUGCCUGAUUGGUAAAGGGUUUGGCUCACGUGCAAGGCCCUGGGUUUGAGCCCCAGCACCACUAAACAAAUCGAUAUUGAGGGAACAGUCGCGUUAUUGCUAAGCACAAAGGAAUCUCCGGCACAGUCGUCACAGACCUUUGGAUUUUCAUUCCUCCUUUGAACCAAGAAGUUUCCAAAGAGCCACCUUAGAUAAGAAGCAGAAUUUGGUGCCUUUGGUGACUAAUAGGAGAGGAAGCCAAGACAAGCUUGAGAUGACUCCAGAGUCUGAAGUCUGUGAGCCUGCCCGCCCUGCUCCAGGAGAAGAGUGGCUGACAGAUUCUCAGAAUUCCAGAUGAGCCCAAAGCUGUCAUGUGGAUGACCUCUACCCUGCUCAAUGAAUCCCAGCGGAAUAUUGUGCCAGGAGAAGGUGGCAGACAGAAGUGACCAAGAGUGCCAUCCACUUAGCUGUUGUCUGCGGACUUGGUUGUCUCUGGAGCGUUGUAGCGGAACCCAGCCUGUGUUUGCUGCUGUAAAUGAACCACAGCCGGGGUAAUUAGUAGAGAAUACAGAUUUGUUCAUCA